GGAUGCGAUCAUACCAGCACUAAUGCACCGGAUCACAUCAGAACUCCGAAGUUAAGUGUGCUUGGGCGAGAGUAGUACUAGGAUGGGUGACCCCCUGGGAAGUUCUCGUGUUGCAUCCA
rnacentral:rRNA from 1 species